rnacentral:rRNA from 1 species
CUGAGCCAGUAUACGACCGUACCGCAAACCGACACUGGUGCGCGAGAUGAGUAUUCUAAGGCGCUUGAGAGAACUCAGGAGAAGGAACUCGGCAAAUUGACACCGUAACUUCGGAAGAGGGUGUGCCCUAUUAGUGUGUAGUGAACAACGAAGCAUGAAUGGGUUGCAAAAAAUCGGUGGCUGCGACUGUUUAUUAAAAACACAGCACUCUGCAAACACGAAAGUGGACGUAUAGGGUGUGACGCCUGCCCGGUGCUGGAAGAUUAAAUGAUGGGGUGCAAGCUCUUGAUUGAAGUCCCAGUAAACGGCGGCCGUAACCAUAACGGUCCUAAGGUAGCGAAAUUCCUUGUCGGGUAAGUUCCGACCUGCACGAAUGGCGUAACGAUGGCCACACUGUCUCCUCCUGAGACUCAGCGAAGUUGAAAUGUUUGUGAUGAUGCAAUCUCCCCGCGGAAAGACGGAAAGACCCCAUGAACCUUUACUGUAGCUUUGUAUUGGACUUUGAACAGAUCUGUGUAGGAUAGGUGGGAGGCUUUGAAGCAGGGUCGCUAGAUCUUGUGGAGCCAACGUUGAAAUACCACCCUGGUGUGUUUGAGGUUCUAACCUAGGUCCAUUAUCUGGAUCGGGGACAGUGCAUGGUAGGCAGUUUGACUGGGGCGGUCUCCUCCCAAAGCGUAACGGAGGAGUUCGAAGGUACGCUAGUUACGGUCGGACAUCGUGACGAUAGUGCAAUGGCAUAAGCGUGCUUAACUGCGAGACUGACAAGUCGAGCAGAUGCGAAAGCAGUACAUAGUGAUCCGGUGGUUCUGUAUGGAAGGGCCAUCGCUCAAUGGAUAAAAGGUACUCUGGGGAUAACAGGCUGAUACCGCCCAAGAGUUCAUAUCGACGGCGGUGUUUGGCACCUCGAUGUCGGCUCAUCUCAUCCUGGGGCUGUAGCCGGUCCCAAGGGUAUGGCUGUUCGCCAUUUAAAGAGGUACGUGAGCUGGGUUUAAAACGUCGUGAGACAGUUUGGUCCCUAUCUUCCGUGGGCGCUGCAGAUUUGAGGAAGCCUGCUCCUAGUACGAGAGGACCGGAGUGGACACACCUCUGGUGUAUCGGUUGUCACGCCAGUGGCAUUGCCGAGUAGCUAAGUGUGGAAGAGAUAACCGCUGAAAGCAUCUAAGCGGGAAACUCGUUUCAAGAUGAGAUCUGCCGGGGCCUUGAGCCCCCUAAAGAGUCGUUCAAGACCAGGACGUUGAUAGGUCAGGUGUGGAAGC